rnacentral:rRNA from 1 species
AGAGACAGCAGCCGCCGCGGUAAUACAGAGGGUGCGAGCGUUAAUCGGAUUUACUGGGCGUAAAGCGUGCGUAGGCGGCUUUUUAAGUCGGAUGUGAAAUCCCUGAGCUUAACUUAGGAAUUGCAUUCGAUACUGGGAAGCUAGAGUAUGGGAGAGGAUGGUAGAAUUCCAGGUGUAGCGGUGAAAUGCGUAGAGAUCUGGAGGAAUACCGAUGGCGAAGGCAGCCAUCUGGCCUAAUACUGACGCUGAGGUACGAAAGCAUGGGGAGCAAACAGGAUUAGAUACCCCAGUAGUCCCUGUCUCUUAUAC